GAAGGGCUGUAGCUCAGUGGUAGAACAUCUGCUUUGAAUGCAGAAGGUCCCAGGUUCAGUUCCUGGUAUCUUCA